rnacentral:rRNA from 1 species
CCUACGGGAGGCAGCAGUGGGGAAUAUUGGACAAUGGGCGAAAGCCUGAUCCAGCAAUGCCGCGUGAGUGAUGAAGGCCUUAGGGUUGUAAAGCUCUUUUACCAGGGAUGAUAAUGACAGUACCUGGAGAAUAAGCUCCGGCUAACUCCGUGCCAGCAGCCGCGGUAAUACGGAGGGAGCUAGCGUUGUUCGGAAUUACUGGGCGUAAAGCGUACGUAGGCGGUUAUUCAAGUCAGAGGUGAAAGCCUGGAGCUCAACUCCAGAACUGCCUUUGAAACUAGAUAGCUAGAAUCUUGGAGAGGUGAGUGGAAUUCCGAGUGUAGAGGUGAAAUUCGUAGAUAUUCGGAAGAACACCAGUGGCGAAGGCGACUCACUGGACAAGUAUUGACGCUGAGGUACGAAAGCGUGGGGAGCAAACAGGAUUAGAUACCCUGGUAGUCCACGCCGUAAACGAUGAUAACUAGCUGUUCGGGCUCUACGAGCUUGAGUGGCGCAGACUACGACAUUAAGUUAUCCGCCGUCGGGAGGUACGGUCGCGAAGAAUUAAAACUUAAAAUUAAGUAAGUUAGUACGGACGUGAGACGUAGCCGAACGGACGACGACGAAGGGGAAGGUUAGG